AAUAUUAUUUCUUUUUUUUUUUUUCACUUUUUAGUUGGUAAUAUAUUUACAUAUCACCAAAAAAGACUUGUAAAUGACACAUAACGCCGAGAUCUAUCACUAUGGCAAUUGCUGCUAGCAAUAGCACAUCUAAACACUGUAAAUGGAUGAUAUGCCUAAGAAUUUCCAAUCUCUAAUUCUCUAUUACCAAAACAAUAGAGGCCGCUAAAUUUGAAGAAUCAAACUCAUAUGUUGUCUUUAAUGACAAUUCAAAUGCACAGCGUAUAAGGCAUUAAGCUCCCUCAAUUACCGCAUGAGAGGGAGAUCUAUUAGCUCUAGCAACCGAAAUACAUGGUGUAACACUAUUACUUCCACUGUGAUUAAGACUGCUGCUGAAACUCGACGGAGCAGGGGGUGGCGGAGCACUGAAUCGGAACCCUAGAUCGUCAUCCUCCUCAUCGUCGUCGGCUGUCUGCGACGCCAUCACUUGAGCAAGCCGCUGCGCCGCGGCCUUCGCUGCAACGUUUUGAGUACGCUUGAUGGUGGACAUACCUGACCCUAGCCGCAAGCUAGGGUGCGCCGGAGAUACCGCUGGCGAGGACGAUCCCGUGCUACUAGAACCACCACUCCAUUGCCGUGAGUAGACCGGGCUCUCCGUCGCCCUCCGGUCCAUCUGAAAGAGUAUUUAUAUAUCUAUGUAUAGGAACAUGUAGCGAAGCGAGGAUUUGGAGAAGCUAGGGAAGGGGGGAGAGACACAGAGAGAGAGAGAGAUAGUUGAGCGAGGAGCGUUUAUCAAGAAGUUGGUCACACAAUU
rnacentral:misc_RNA from 1 species